rnacentral:SRP_RNA from 1 species
CCGCGCUAGGUGGGGAGUUAGCGAUGCCCUGUACUUGCAAUUCGCUUAGCAAGACUGAACUGUCCGCCCCGGCGUAAUUUAUUCCGUGCUGAAUUUUGCAAGGAGUGUUGAUAACAAGGUCUUAUGCAACGGACCGCUGUGAACCGUGUCAGGAUAGGGAUAUAGCAGCACUAAGCAGUUUAGUUCGUGUGCCAUAAGGUAGCUUUGUAGGAGCCACCUGCAAUUUUACCGACGGGGUAGGUUGCGUCAAAGCGGAAUGCGCGG